GGUCGUUCCUCCCGGCCGCCCGGGGCCCUGGGCGGGCGGCGAAGGAGACCUGGCCGCCCCGGCCGGCCCUUAGCCACGCAGGAGGAGCUCUGAAUGUUUCUCCUCUUAAGGCAGACCUGGUACAUCUUCCUCUCUAAUCAGCAGGCUGGGGCUCGGUCGCUGUCGACACGAAUGCCGUGCUCCUAUCCCCUCGGCUGCGCAGAAGUUUCCAAGUGGGAAGAUCAUAAUCCCAAGGAGUGUCAUGGUCAUUAAUUCAGACUGUUUAGGGCUUGCCUCAAGCUAAGCAAUCCCACAGAUAACCUCUCCAGCUCUGAAAACAUCUUGAAACCCUAAGUUGUUUUAACAGCAACACUCUGAAAAUGGAUGAUCUAUGCGAGGAUAUAUAUUAAAAAAAAAAGCUUUCGAACUAAAUCUUUUAUUUCCAGUCUUCUGCCAACCAGC